UAAUACGUAGGGUGCAAGCGUUAAUCGGAAUUACUGGGCGUAAAGCGUGCGCAGGCGGUGAUGUAAGACAGUUGUGAAAUCCCCGGGCUCAACCUGGGAACUGCAUCUGUGACUGCAUCGCUGGAGUGCGGCAGAGGGGGAUGGAAUUCCGCGUGUAGCAGUGAAAUGCGUAGAUAUGCGGAGGAACACCGAUGGCGAAGGCAAUCCCCUGGGCCUGCACUGACGCUCAUGCACGAAAGCGUGGGGAGCAAACAGGAUUAGAUACCCUGGUAGUCCACGCCCUAAACGAUGUCAACUGGUUGUUGGGUCUUCACUGACUCAGUAACGAAGCUAACGCGUGAAGUUGACCGCCUGGGGAGUACGGCCGCAAGGUUG
rnacentral:rRNA from 1 species